GACGGAGGGGGCGAGCGUUGUCCGGAAUUACUGGGCGUAAAGGGCGCGUAGGCGGCUUUUUAAGUCGGUUGUGAAAGCCCCGGGCUCAACCCGGGGAGGCCAGCCGAUACUGGGGAGCUUGAGUGCAGGAGAGGGAAGUGGAAUUGCCGGUGUAGCGGUGGAAUGCGUAGAUAUCGGCAAGAACACCCGCGGCGAAGGCGGCUUCCUGGACUGCAACUGACGCUGAGGCGCGAAAGCUAGGGGAGCGAACAGG
rnacentral:rRNA from 1 species